rnacentral:rRNA from 1 species
UUAGCCUACGGGGGGCAGCAGUAGGGAAUAUUGCUCAAUGGGGGAAACCCUGAAGCAGCAACGCCGCGUGGAGGAUGAAGGUUUUAGGAUUGUAAACUCCUUUUGUAAGAGAAGAUUAUGUCGGUAUCUUACGAAUAAGCACCGGCUAACUCCGUGCCAGCAGCCGCGGUAAUACGGAGGGUGCAAGCGUUACUCGGAAUCACUGGGCGUAAAGAGCGCGUAGGCGGGUGGUCAAGUCAGAUGUGAAAUCCUGUAGCUUAACUACAGAACUGCAUUUGAAACUGGUUUUCUUGAGUGAAGUAGAG